UAUAAGCACAUUUAUUAUUAAAAUUAUUAAAAAAUGGGUAUUGAAUGAGGUAUGUGGUAGAAUUCUAAAAUUAAAAGAGAGUAAUAUGGUAAAGUACUUGGUCAAACUAAUUUAUAAGUCCAAAAAAUGUUAUAAACAAACAAAUUACUUAUUUUUAGAGCUUCUAAGCUGGUUUGACCAGCUUAAAAGUUAAGACAAACAUCCUCUAAGACUUCAACCACAUCACAUAAAGAUCGAAAUAGUGUCCACACAACGCAAAGGGCACGUACAGGCAUGGUGAAUUUUCUCAUAUCUAUUUUAGCUUUACUUGAAAAGGCAGUCAGUCAAACAAGAGCGCAAGCCUUUGAAAAGUUAUAUGAG
rnacentral:misc_RNA from 1 species